GAUUAAGUUAUUAAGGGCGCACGGUGGAUGCCUUGGCACUAGAAGCCGAUGAAGGACGUUACUAACGACGAUAUGCUUUGGGGAGCUGUAAGUAAGCUUUGAUCCAGAGAUUUCCGAAUGGGGAAACCCAGCAUGAGUUAUGUCAUGUUAUCGAUAUGUGAAUACAUAGCAUAUCAGAAGGCACACCCGGAGAACUGAAACAUCUUAGUACCCGGAGGAAGAGAAAGAAAAUUCGAUUCCCUUAGUAGCGGCGAGCGAAACGGGAAGAGCCCAAACCAACAAGCUUGCUUGUUGGGGUUGUAGGACACUCUAUACGGAGUUACAAAGGACGACAUUAGACGAAUCAUCUGGAAAGAUGAAUCAAAGAAGGUAAUAAUCCUGUAGUCGAAAAUGUUGUCUCUCUUGAGUGGAUCCUGAGUACGACGGAGCACGUGAAAUUCCGUCGGAAUCUGGGAGGACCAUCUCCUAAGGCUAAAUACUCUCUAGUGACCGAUAGUGAACCAGUACCGUGAGGGAAAGGUGAAAAGCACCCCGGAAGGGGAGUGAAACAGAACCUGAAACCGUGUGCUUACAAGUAGUCAGAGCCCGUUAAUGGGUGAUGGCGUGCCUUUUGUAGAAUGAACCGGCGAGUUACGAUUUGAUGCAAGGUUAAGCAGUAAAUGUGGAGCCGUAGCGAAAGCGAGUCUGAAUAGGGCGUUUAGUAUUUGGUCGUAGACCCGAAACCAGGUGAUCUACCCUUGGUCAGGUUGAAGUUCAGGUAACACUGAAUGGAGGACCGAACCGACUUACGUUGAAAAGUGAGCGGAUGAACUGAGGGUAGCGGAGAAAUUCCAAUCGAACCUGGAGAUAGCUGGUUCUCUCCGAAAUAGCUUUAGGGCUAGCCUCAAGUGAUGAUUAUUGGAGGUAGAGCACUGUUUGGACGAGGGGCCCCUCUCGGGUUACCGAAUUCAGACAAACUCCGAAUGCCAAUUAAUUUAACUUGGGAGUCAGAACAUGGGUGAUAAGGUCCGUGUUCGAAAGGGAAACAGCCCAGACCACCAGCUAAGGUCCCAAAAUAUAUGUUAAGUGGAAAAGGAUGUGGCGUUGCCCAGACAACUAGGAUGUUGGCUUAGAAGCAGCCAUCAUUUAAAGAGUGCGUAAUAGCUCACUAGUCGAGUGACACUGCGCCGAAAAUGUACCGGGGCUAAACAUAUUACCGAAGCUGUGGAUUGUCCUUUGGACAAUGGUAGGAGAGCGUUCUAAGGGCGUUGAAGCAUGAUCGUAAGGACAUAUGGAGCGCUUAGAAGUGAGAAUGCCGGUGUGAGUAGCGAAAGACGGGUGAGAAUCCCGUCCACCGAUUGACUAAGGUUUCCAGAGGAAGGCUCGUCCGCUCUGGGUUAGUCGGGUCCUAAGCUGAGGCCGACAGGCGUAGGCGAUGGAUAACAGGUUGAUAUUCCUGUACCACCUAUAAUCGUUUUAAUCGAUGGGGGGACGCAGUAGGAUAGGCGAAGCGUGCGAUUGGAUUGCACGUCUAAGCAGUAAGGCUGAGUAUUAGGCAAAUCCGGUACUCAUUAAGGCUGAGCUGUGAUGGGGAGAAGACAUUGUGUCUUCGAGUCGUUGAUUUCACACUGCCGAGAAAAGCCUCUAGAUAGAAAAUAGGUGCCCGUACCGCAAACCGACACAGGUAGUCAAGAUGAGAAUUCUAAGGUGAGCGAGCGAACUCUCGUUAAGGAACUCGGCAAAAUGACCCCGUAACUUCGGGAGAAGGGGUGCUCUUUAGGGUUAACGCCCAGAAGAGCCGCAGUGAAUAGGCCCAAGCGACUGUUUAUCAAAAACACAGGUCUCUGCUAAACCGUAAGGUGAUGUAUAGGGGCUGACGCCUGCCCGGUGCUGGAAGGUUAAGAGGAGUGGUUAGCUUCUGCGAAGCUACGAAUCGAAGCCCCAGUAAACGGCGGCCGUAACUAUAACGGUCCUAAGGUAGCGAAAUUCCUUGUCGGGUAAGUUCCGACCCGCACGAAAGGCGUAACGAUUUGGGCACUGUCUCAACGAGAGACUCGGUGAAAUCAUAGUACCUGUGAAGAUGCAGGUUACCCGCGACAGGACGGAAAGACCCCGUGGAGCUUUACUGUAGCCUGAUAUUGAAAUUCGGCACAGCUUGUACAGGAUAGGUAGGAGCCUUUGAAACGUGAGCGCUAGCUUACGUGGAGGCGCUGGUGGGAUACUACCCUAGCUGUGUUGGCUUUCUAACCCGCACCACUUAUCGUGGUGGGAGACAGUGUCAGGCGGGCAGUUUGACUGGGGCGGUCGCCUCCUAAAAGGUAACGGAGGCGCUCAAAGGUUCCCUCAGAAUGGUUGGAAAUCAUUCAUAGAGUGUAAAGGCAUAAGGGAGCUUGACUGCGAGACCUACAAGUCGAGCAGGGUCGAAAGACGGACUUAGUGAUCCGGUGGUUCCGCAUGGAAGGGCCAUCGCUCAACGGAUAAAAGCUACCCCGGGGAUAACAGGCUUAUCUCCCCCAAGAGUUCACAUCGACGGGGAGGUUUGGCACCUCGAUGUCGGCUCAUCGCAUCCUGGGGCUGUAGUCGGUCCCAAGGGUUGGGCUGUUCGCCCAUUAAAGCGGUACGCGAGCUGGGUUCAGAACGUCGUGAGACAGUUCGGUCCCUAUCCGUCGUGGGCGUAGGAAAUUUGAGAGGAGCUGUCCUUAGUACGAGAGGACCGGGAUGGACAUACCUCUGGUGUACCAGUUGUCGUGCCAACGGCAUAGCUGGGUAGCUAUGUGUGGACGGGAUAAGUGCUGAAAGCAUCUAAGCAUGAAGCCCCCCUCAAGAUGAGAUUUCCCAACUUCGGUUAUAAGAUCCCUCAAAGAUGAUGAGGUUAAUAGGUUCGAGGUGGAAGCAUGGUGACAUGUGGAGCUGACGAAUACUAAUCGAUCGAAGACUUAAUCAA
rnacentral:rRNA from 1 species